GACGAACGCUGGCGGCGUGCUUAACACAUGCAAGUCGAGCGGUAAGGCCCUUUCGGGGGUACACGAGCGGCGAACGGGUGAGUAACACGUGGGUGACCUGCCCUUAGCUCUGGGAUAAGCCUGGGAAACUGGGUCUAAUACCGGAUAUGACUCCAUGACGCAUGUUGUGGGGUGGAAAGCCUUGUGCGGCUAGGGAUGGGCCCGCGGCCUAUCAGCUUGUUGGUGGGGUGAUGGCCUACCGAGGCGACGACGGGUAGCCGGCCUGAGAGGGCGACCGGCCACACUGGGACUGAGACACGGCCCAGACUCCUACGGGAGGCAGCAGUGGGGAAUCUUGCGCAAUGGGCGAAAGCCUGACGCAGCGACGCCGCGUGAGGGAUGACGGCCU
rnacentral:rRNA from 1 species